rnacentral:tRNA from 1 species
CAGAAAAUAGUUUAUAAAAAUAUUAAUUUUGGAGAUUAAUGAAAAGAAUUAAUUCUUUUUUCUGA